rnacentral:lncRNA from 1 species
CCCAGACCACUGAAGCAGAGCAUGCCAAAGUUAACCACUAGGCCACCAGGGCUGGCCCCAGGACUUUUAAGUUUUAAUUCGGGGCUCAGGGUCUGCAUAAGGGACCUGAUAGCUUCUAUGAUGGCCCUGAAAGAAACACCACCUCCUGUAGUUGUGGAGCUGAGAUAUUAAAAACCAAACCUAAGUCUAUUCCUGCAAAAUAUGGCAUAAUAAUUAAUAGCAAGUUAUGCCUACAUAACCAGCCCCUUCUGAUCUGAGACAGAUGAGCUUCCCCGGGCAGAAGCUCUCCACACUUUCCCUAUGGUUUGCUGUUGGAAAGAGAGCAUUCCUCUGCGUGUGCCCUUGGACAAGGAAGAAGAUGAGAGGCCUGUGCUGCAUCUCCCUGGACUCCACCAAUGCCUAUCAUUCUCCUGAUGCUUUUGCUGGUCAAGACUGCCAUGAAUAUCGCUACUUCAAUUUUUGAUGUGGCUCACUGUAGCAGAAUUCUUGGGAACAGUGUCUUCAGUUAUGCCAAGAAGAAUGGCAUUUCUCAC